UACGUAGGGGGCAAGCGUUGUCCGGAUUUAUUGGGCGUAAAGAGCGUGUAGGCGGCCAGGUAGGUCUGGUGUGAAAACUCGAGGCUUAACCUCGAGAUGUCAUCGGAAACCAUCUGGCUAGAGUCCGGAAGAGGAGAGUGGAAUUCCGUGGUGUAGCGGUGAAAUGCGCAGAUAUCAGGAAGAACACCAAUGGCGAAAGCAGCUCUCUGGGACGGUACUGACGCUGAGACGCGAAAGCGUGGGGAGCGAACAGG
rnacentral:rRNA from 1 species